rnacentral:rRNA from 1 species
GGGGGGGGGGGGGGUGCCUACCAUGCAAGUCGAACGAAGCGCCCGCGCGGAUCCCCUCGGGAUGAAGCGCGGAUGCCUUAAUGGCGGACGGGUGAGUCACGCGUGGGCAACCUGCCCCGUGCCGGGGGACAACAGCCGGAAACGGCUGCUAAUACCGCAUGAUCCGGGAGGGCCGCAUGGCCCUGCCGGGAAAGCUCCGGCGGCACGGGAUGGGCCCGCGUCUGAUUAGUUUGUUGGCGGGGUAACGGCCCACCAAGACUGCGAUCAGCAGCCGGCCUGAGAGGGCGGCCGGCCACAUUGGGACUGAGACACGGCCCAGACUCCUGCGGGAGGCAGCAGUGGGGAAUAUUGCACAAUGGGGGAAACCCUGAUGCAGCGACGCCGCGUGGGCGACGAAGCGCUCCGGCGCGUAAAGCCCUGUCAGCAGGGAAGAACAAAGACAGUACCUGACCAAGAAGCCCCGGCUAACUACGUGCCAGCAGCCGCGGUAAUACGUAGGGGGCAAGCGUUAUCCGGAUUCACUGGGCGUAAAGGGAGCGCAGGCGGCACGGCAAGUCUGGUGUGAAAGCCCGGGGCCCAACCCCGGGACUGCAUUGGAAACUGCCGGGCUGGAGUGCCGGAGGGGUAAGCGGAAUUCCUGGUGUAGCGGUGAAAUGCGCACAUAUCAGGAAGAACACCGGUGGCGGAGGCGGCUUACUGGACGGCAACUGACGCUGAGGCUCGAAAGCGUGGGGAGCAAACAAGAUUAAAUACCCUGAUAGUCCACGCCGUACACGAUGAAUACCCAGUGUCGGCGGGCAAGGCCCGCCGGCGCCCCCGCUAACGCACUUACCUCAUCCCCCCUGGGGACGACGUUCGCCAACAAUGACACCCAUUAGAAUUGGAGGGGAACCCCCCCCA